UCCUUGGAUCACACUCCCUUUUCUCCCCUUUGGCUUAUCUUCAAACACCAGGGAGAAUGGACGGGUUGAGGUCUUUCCUAAACACAGCGUCUCAAAAGUUGAUGCUUUUCAUUCUUGUUUUUCUUUGGGCUUUGACAUUAAGGAGCACUGUUUAGCAGUGUUUCUCAACUCCAGACAAUCCAUACUUUUUAUAAAUUUUGACUUAGAUUUUUAAAAAAAUUUUGAGUACGUAUUGAUUUGUUAUGAAGCCUGAGAGAAAUAUUACUUGGAAGAGUAGGGAGAGGAGGAUUUUGUUUUCCUUUGGUUUAAGGAAGCUUUUAGGCUUAGGGGAAUGAAGUGUGUCAUCUGCAAAGUGGAGAGUGGGAAGGUGGCUAUUCUGUGAAUCCAUCUUCAGGCACUGGAACUCUGCAAAGAAAAGAAAACAGGACUAGGGAAAGACAGUCACUAGCAUUGCAUGUCAAGCAGGUGUCUUUUGGAUACCAGUAAAUUGGCAGCUGUGGCUUGAGCUGUGUCUGCUCCAAAAAGGCUGUCUUCAUGUCUGCCUUUCAAAUUUUCAUUCCAAGACGCUACCUGGUUUUAUUGUGCAUACAGUGAAACAAAUUUUGAAAUUUUGACUUUGAGAUGUCAGCCCCAUAGAGGAUGUCUUGUCAGCAUUGUCUGUCCAUCGUAUUUCAAAGACAAGGAAGACAUCAGCGUGUCACGUGAUGGUCACAAGCCCAUGGCUGUGCUGCUGCCUAGUGGGUGGCAUUUGGAGGAGACACGUAAAUGCUGAUGGUUGACUUCCUGGCAAAUUCUUGUUGCCCUCUGCCACCCUGCCCUACCACCUUGGCUAUCGGUUAUGUAUGCUGUCCUUGUGACCACAGAGAAGGCGAUUCUUCAGAUCUCAUCAGCAUUUUCCCUCUUCCCUUCACUAAUAUAAUUUCCAAGAUGAACGCUAAAGUUUAGGUGACCCUCACAGUGAAAGCCCCAACUAGAUUCCGACACUUGGCUUAAUAAGCCCGGAGCAAUUCUUUAUGAGCUUUGCUUCUCAGAAUGCUUGAAAAAUUAUCCAGUUAGUGUUCCCGCAGCCUCCAUCUAUGAGUUCAUUGGGAAACUAUGCAUAAGAUACUUUGGAAAUAAACAUACACAAGAAGUUGCAGUUCUGUUUGAAUGACCCUAUACCUUGGAAUGUCUGUAACUGUGAGAAUUAUAAGACCAAGAAAUAUGUUCAGGCUGCUGGCUUGAAUAGUUACUAUUCCUUAUAUGGAAUCCUUACAGACAGGAAGAAAACUUGUAUAAACUAAAUAGGAAUUUUUUCCCCAGCCACUCAUGGGCCUCAUCCUUGACCUAUUUCAUUUAUAGUUUCCAACACUCUUCCUGCUGUGGGAGUGCCAACUCGUAUAGACACUUUGGAAAUCAGUAUGGAGAUUCCUCAGGAAAAUGGGAAUCAGUCUACCACAAGAUCCGGCAAUUCCACUCUUAGGCAUAUAUGCAAAAG